rnacentral:rRNA from 1 species
AGUGAACGCUGGCGGUAGGCCUAACACAUGCAAGUCGAACGGCAGCACAGUAAGAGCUUGCUCUUACGGGUGGCGAGUGGCGGACGGGUGAGGAAUACAUCGGAAUCUACUUUUUCGUGGGGGAUAACGUAGGGAAACUUACGCUAAUACCGCAUACGACCUACGGGUGAAAGCAGCGGAUCUUCGGACCUUUCGCGGUUGAAUGAGCCGAUGUCGGAUUAGCUAGUUGGCGGGGUAAAGGCCCACCAAGGCGACGAUCCGUAGCUGGUCUGAGAGGAUGAUCAGCCACACUGGAACUGAGACACGGUCCAGACUCCUACGGGAGGCAGCAGUGGGGAAUAUUGGACAAUGGGCGCAAGCCUGAUCCAGCCAUACCGCGUGAGUGAAGAAGGCCUUCGGGUUGUAAAGCCCUUUUGUUGGGAAAGAAAAGCAGCAGGUUAAUACCCCGCUGUUCUGACGGUACCCAAAGAAUAAGCACCGGCUAACUUCGUG